AUUGAAUGAAUUUCAAAUUUCAUUAAUGCAUCACUAGUAUUUCUCAAGACUUACAGUUUUAAUAAUAAGAGAGAUAACAUUUCCCUUCAACUUUCUAUCCCAAGUUACAACUACACAAGAAAAGGAACAAUCACUGUUUCAAUGGUUAUUGAAUUAUGCCAAAAACGACAAAAAAAGAAUAGAAAAAUUAUCCUUGCAUACAGUCACUAAGGACAUGCGUGGUAGCAACUUUAUAAUAUAUGUAUAUUACUCAAACUGAUAAUCCAGCUAA
rnacentral:misc_RNA from 1 species